ACUGCUCAUUCGCGGCCCCUUCGUCGUAUUAUGGCAACCGCAUUGCCAACGUUUGCGGGCAAUUCCAUGUUCCGGUCGUCGUGUCUCUGCUUGAUUUCAACUUAUCAGGGAAGAGCAGUAUGUUCCUUGGUAUUUCUUCCCCGUGUCCGCUCGAGUUGUUGAAGAGAAUGAGCGGAUUCUUCACCUCGAAAUGGUCCACAGGUUUGCGUUGCUAGUCAUGUUCUAUUAUGUCCCGAGCAGGCUGUGCUUUUCCUCGAAAUGCGUAUCGUCAGCGUUGCAUCGGCAUAGCAUCAGAUCUGUAUGCGCAUCAGUGAAUCCGAACGACUAACUGAAGAUGUUGGAACGUUGAAUGAUUAGAUUGAGCAUCAAACCCCAAUUUCUAAUGGUAUUUUUCAUCUUCCGAUUGUUUGACAAAAUGCUUAGUCGGUUGCUGCUAAUUAGUCAGAUGUCAUGUUAUCAACGUGAUGAUGAUUAUAUAUUCCAGAGUGUGGAAAGCCAGUUUACAAGAAUAUGUUUCGUCGUCCACUUGUUUGAUAAAAUGCUUCUUCAGUCGUUGCUAUUUAGUUUUGUUACUGGAUCUGAUAAUAUCAAUGUUAUGGUGUUGCUCUUUAUCUGAAAUUCUUUCAUUAAUCGAUCCUUUUGUCCUUACGUUGAGAAGUUUUCAUCUUGUAAACUGGUAAUUGCUUUUCAGUUAUAAUCAUAAACUUGUUGGUUAAUGAAAGGGAAGUGAGGGGCAUAAUCUGUGUCCAUUGCAUUCACAUAAGAAAGGACAUCAAAAGGUUGAUGUUUAUAAAUGCAUUAAAGAGAACUUAAUUUGACUUUUGAACAGAAAAUCAUGAAGCCCAUAUUCAUGAUGAAACACCAACAGUUUGAUUAAUUAAAAAAAUAAAAAGAAAAACAUAGUGGCAUUUGUUGAGUUUCAUAUUUGACAUCUGAAUUCUUGAAAUCUAUAUGGGUGUGAUGACAGUAACCAACUUAAGAAGGAGCUGGACUCAUUCUUGGGAUGCCCAAAUGAUGAUUAAUUAUAAAUUUAGUUCAAUGAGUUUGAUAUCCUUUGUUCGAUGUGUAUUGACUCAAUGAUAUUAUGAGGUCCUGGACAUCUUGAAUGGAUGUUAAAAUCAAAUUUUUUUUCCUUUUAUAUAUUUUCCAACUUUUUUUGCAAUCUAUAUUGCGCCUUGUAUAGUUGACAGCCAAAAAUAUGACUUGAAAGCAAGACUCAUGCUUGAAUCCAUGUAGAUAUGUAAAUUGUGCUAGUUUUCUUGUGAAAAUCUGGCAAAUGAGGGCUGUUCUGGUGGAUUAUAAGUUGUUAGACACAAUGAUGUUAUCAUCCAAUUUUUCUUUCUCAACUUUCUUCAUGUGCUUAUGCUAGGCCCUCUAAGUGGGCAGUAUUAAGUUCAAAAGUCAAGAGAAUUAAGUUUCAUCGAGGUCGUCAUUUUUGUUCGGUUAACCCCAUUUGUUCAACACUUGUAGCCUUGUACUGUCUUAUGAAGCUAAUGGUGAAGUAGUAGCUUAAUAUCACACAAUGAUCUCUUUGGACAUAAUAAUCAAUAGUGGAAAAGUGGCAAAUAUUUUUUCUGCCAUGAAUCCUGGUUAUUCUCUUUUGCCUUAUUUUAGUAGAUUUAACUUUUCAAGUAUCAGUGGUGUAGCAUCCCACAAUUUCUCAGCAUUAUAACCAAAGUACCAGCAAUAUGUGGUUUCAAGAGUUUUUUCAGAACUUCCAUUUACAUGGGAGUCUUGACAAUAGUUUGUCAGGAAGCAAAAGCAGCUCAUGGCACAAUUGCAAAGCUGAGUUGCCAAUAUUUUCUGUUUCAGGUGCUUCAGACUUACAGUUUAAUCAUUAAAGAAAAUCCAAGGAAGAAACAUUUUGUUGUGUACAAAUUCUGGGUGAACUAAGACAAGCUGAAUUUGCACACUGUGUUGCAGCAAAAAUAACUUUUGUCGAGGUGAGAAAAAUAUAAGUGGUAGACAACUCUGGUGCAAAAUUUGUUGUGUAUACAAGCUUUGAGAGGAAGGAGAGAAGCAUGAUUGAGUGAGAGCAUAACCACAAUAAAGGAAGCACAACCUUGCGGUGAAGUAAAGAAGGGGCAUGUUGUUUUCUUGUGUAGUGGUGUGUGGGGAUGAUGUGAUAAUAGUGAGAUCAAGUUUCAUGACAACACUGUAGUCCUUUUGCACAAGCAGAUGGAGCCGUUUGGCACUCUUGUUUUCUCGGCCAAUGCCUCGUGAGAUUAGGAAGAAGAAGCAUGUCAAGGUUCCAACUUUGUCUGAACAUAUCUUGAGUGACCAACUUCCACGGGAUGUUUUACCUCUAUUUAGGAUUCUUCUGCUGGCUAAGUCUUUCACCGAGAUUUUUUUGGUUGGAUAUACUAAAUACUUGUGAAGUGCUUCAUGAUUCUGGAUGCAAAUAUCUUUAUUUCGUAUGUCUUCAUCAGACAUUUUCAUAUGGUUUGUUUGGGAAAAAUAUUUAUGCAACCAAGAUUUUUAUUGAA